rnacentral:rRNA from 1 species
CUCACGUUCUGCCAACGCUCAGGCGGUUCCCAGUUUUGGCAGGCCGUCGUCCAGCUGCUGCCUGUCCUGCGUAUUGGCACAUCCAUCUCGGUAGGCACUAGAUCCUCGACCUUGUUCUGGCUGGAUAGAUGGCUUGGGGACUCCCCCGCCGCCCGUUUCCCCAUUCUCUUCGACAUUGUAGUUGACCCUCGGGUCUCUGUCGAGGCGGCCCUUAUUGACUUAGGACGCCUCGCGUUCCGCCCCUUUGGCCCCGCUGAGGUGGCUGCCUGGGAUGUCCUCCUACAGGACGUCGCCCUCCUUCCUAUGGACGUGGCCGACUCUCCGGACACCAUUUCCUGGCGUCUAGAUCCCUCCGGCUGCUUCUCCACCAAAUCCCUCUACGCGGCUAUAGCCCCCUCGACAGCCCCGGAGCCCUUCGGUUUGAUCUGGGACAUCCGCCUCCCCCUAAAGAUCCGGAUCUUCCUUUGGCAAUGGAUCCGCGGCUGCCUUCCGACCGGCGUAGAGGUCCUUAAGCGCCAUGGUCCUGGAGAUGGGAUGUGCCCUUUAUGUGGCACGGUAGAGGACGCUAACCACAUCUUCUUCUCGUGCUACACGGCACAGUUCCUUUGGUCUUGUUUCCGCGAAACGUUAGGGGGACAGUGGUGCAACACCAACUUCCCUGACUUGCUUGCCGAAAUUCAAGCCUCCCCCCCUCGUUACAAACAUAUUAGAUGGCUGUGCGUUGGGGUCCUCGCCUGGACGUUGUGGACAGUUCACAAUAAGCUUGUCAUUCAGAAGGUGCCUCUUCGGCGUGCGACUGACUCCAUCUUUAAAAUGUGUGGUUACUUGCAGCUCUGGCGGCCGCUUAGCCGCCCUCAGGACCGGGAAGCCAUCAGCACCCUCCUCACCGACCUCCGAUCGAUGGCCUUCCGCCUGGCGCCUCCGCUCCCGCCGCCACCCCCGGAGCCCGACUAG